rnacentral:rRNA from 1 species
UGGGGAAUAUUGCACAAUGGAGGGAACUCUGAUGCAGCGACGCCGCGUGAGUGAUGAAGGAAUUCGUUUCGUAAAACUCUGUUCUAUGGGAAGAAAAGGACUGUACCAUAGGAGAAAGCUCCGGCUAAAUACGUGCCAGCAGCCGCGGUAAUACGUAUGGAGCGAGCGUUGUCCGGAAUUAUUGGGCGUAAAGGGUGCGCAGGCGGCUUUACAAGUUGGAUGUGAAAUAUUGUGGCUCAACCACAAACGUGCAUCCAAAACUGCAAAGCUUGAGUUAAGGAGGGGUAAGUGGAAUUCCUGGUGUAGCGGUAGAAUGCGUAGAUAUCAGGAGGAAUACCGGUGGCGAAGGCGACUUACUGGACUUAAACUGACGCUCAGGCACGAAAGCGUGGGGAGCAAACAGG